CAUGGAUCUCCCAGAUGUCCAUCUGCAUGGAUGCUGUGGGCUUGUCUUUGGGAAGAGGAGCCACAAGCUGGGGAGAGCCAUUUAUUGACUCUCAGGAAUACAGCUGCUGGGCCUGCACGGUAGUCACCUCCGGCUCCAGCGAGGAGGUGAGCUCAGCAUGCAGGAAGCACCCACAGACACUGCUGUGAUUCGCUGACCCUGGGUGUCUGCCCCCUGCUCCCCUCCUUGUGGGAGCACACUUAUGCAUCCCUGUAUCCCAGCGCCUACCUCAGCCUGCAAGUAAGAAACUCCUGCUUCGUUUUCUUACAUGAACAGAUGCGGUUUUCGGGCACUUUAUGUGACAGUGAGGCUGCACAAGGCAGACGCGGUUCUUGUUCCCAUGCAAUUAGCAGACUGCUGAGCACACAGUGGGCACUUUACACACGUUCAUGCAGUGAUUGAGUGAGAGACCAGCAUCAACCACAAGAAGUGGCAAAGGUCGGAAACAGCUCAGGCCUGGAGUCUGCGUGCAAAUCAGUCCCUUGGUUACUUCCCCUGCCCAGGGCUCUGCACCUGGAAUCACCGUGCUGCCAACCUGCGAGGGUGUCUCCUUAGCUGGCCACCUGAGGUCCAGGCCUGGCCUUUCCACACUGGCUAUUCCCGUCUCUUGACACUUGGGGUCUUAGAGGUCCCUGGACUCUGAACUUCAGGUGCCAUGCAGCCUUUUCUGGCCUUGUGUUGGUCUGAGUUGAUCGUGAACCACUCACUGGGGAGCUCUCUGGCGCCAGUUCUGAUGGAAAGCUUCUCCCCGGUGGCCCGGGUGCGUCAGUCUCCAGUUCCCACCUCUCUGCUGCUCAGCCCCUGGCACACCUUGUGGCAGGACACACCGUGCUCCUGGGUCUGCACAGUGUCUCCUGGGAGCUGCCUGGAGGUACCUGGGAGGCAGAAUGAUUGCCGCUUCAGAGUAGGCUGUGUACACAGUGAAGCUCUUUUUGUUCUUCAUGUGCAUUAAAAAAACAACAACCCUGGGUGAUAUUAAAAAAUGAGGCUGAUAGGUUUUUCUUCAUUUUGUCCUGGACAGACUGUUUCUGUAGAAAUGAACAAAACACGUUUCUGAUUGACUAGUUUGGGGCAAGCGGUGCUGGUGACAGCAGGGAAGGAUGGGAUGGACUUAACUGGAGCGCACACCUGGCUUGGGACGGACGCCGCAGGCGUCUCAAGCGGCGUAGGAAGAACUCGGCGCCCUGGGUGACUCUGGGGUCAGGGUCUCCCGAAGUUGGGCUGAGUGUUUCUCUGGAACGUUCUCGGGGGUCCAGGGAGCUGCCUGGACUGAUGGGUGCUGGGCGAAUGCAGGAGGGUGGGAGCGGCCGGGCCUGCUGGGCCUCGCCUGCUCGCUCCCGUGCUCUCCUUGAGCCCCUUGGCCUGUCUGUGCAGGAGUCCAAGUCCCAGCUCAGGCACCCGCCCAGGCCACGGCUCACAGCCCCAGGACGCUUCCGUCCAUCCGUUCUCUGACCCAGCUGCCUGCCAUCAGUUUGCUCCCAGGCCUGGCUGUCACGCUGGUCCCUGAAGCCCCAGGGCGGCCUCCAUUUCAGCUGCACCCCAAAUGCUCAGCACACACAUUCCGGGCAAGAGAGAAAACCAGUUUCUUCGGCAGCCGCCUCGAGGGGUGCACAUUUGUGUCGUUACGCUUCAGUUUCCCAAGGACAGGGCAUCACAUCUGCUCGCAUCUGGUCUGCUGACUGACGUUCCCCACAGGGGACAAGAGUUGUGAAAUGCUUCCCGUUUCUGUUCAGGAAAGGCUGAAGAUGCUGCUUUAUUCUCUUUCAACUUCAUUCCCAAGUUUACAUAAACUUCGCUGGCAUUUUCUCUUUUGCAUUUACCCACGGCUCUUCCGUAGGAUAACAGAACUAGAGAGUCGAGUGUCUCCGGCCCCGCAUCCUAGAGAUGGGUGGGCAGCGCACCCAGCCCUGACUGUGGCCUCUGGCUAUGCCCUGCGUAUGCAGGCAUAUUUCUAAAAGUCUGAUCUAACAACUGAAAGGAGGUUCAGAUGAUGCCUUACUUUCUUGAAGGCCAAUCAAGAGGUCCACUUUGUUUGCCGAAAGAACACACUCAGAUCCCCAUCAGGCUUCCUCUCAAUUCCCUUGCCUCCUGCAUGGUCUGGAGCCGCCCUCCUGGGAUCCCCAGCUCCAGGAACUCUCAGUUUCCUGCCUAUUCCCUCUCGUCCGUCCUCCCUUUGCAACCCUGACCCCGCUUCUCCCUUCACAUUCACCACAUCCUUUGAAUUGGUAACACAGAGCCCCAUGGACUGGAGUAGCAGGCCAAAGAUCCUGUGAUUCCCCCAAAAUGUCCUUUAAUAAAGGCGGGUGGAGGAUGUGGCGGCCGAGACCUCGCAGUGCCAAUGACUCUCACGUGCUUCGCGUGUUGUCGGGGACUGUCACCCGCACCUCGAGGGGACAGCAUCCCCUCAGCCCUCCCAGGGCGGACCUCCUGCCUCCCCGACAGAAGCUUCCUCCUGGCCAUCUCCCCUGUCUCAUCUGUAAGUGCUUCCAGACCCUUCACCCACUCACCCUGUUGGCUCACUUUGUGUUUCUGUGCUCUGGACCGAUGUCGGCAGAAAGCAGCAGGACCGUCUGAAUGAGCUGAGGGCCAGCCUGGCAGCAAGAAUGUGCGAAGACAGCAGGGCCUGGGCUCAUGGCUGCCUCCUCUCCUCCUCAUGGCCAGGAUCGCUGCUCCAACACCAGCUCCCAUUUGCAGCCCUUUCUGCUCCAUAGAUUCCCUCUCCUUUACACGUUGUUGUUGCUCCAUUAGGUGACUCAGCCAGCUGUGCCUCAUUUCCUGCCUCCCACGACUCCACUCCAUGUGGCCACAGCCUCUGUCACCGUUCCUCUCAUGCCCAGCGAGGAUCCUCAUCACACAGGAUUUUUUGAACAGCUAGUUGUAUAUGUGUGUAUUCUGUGUGCCGAGUCUUCACAGAUUCUGAAAGGAAGACUUCAGAUAGAGUCCUAGAAUCCCUGCGGGUCUGUCGCUAUCCGCGGUGCUGAACCUACAAGUCCACACGUGGAUGCUUCCCGCCUGCAAGGGGAAAAUAAAUCAACCGAAUCUUUAGAUUUCGUAAGGACCUACAGACCUUGUAAACGCUAUCGAUCCUAUCCUAUGCUUAUGAACCAAACAACGCAGCCAGAUUUAAAGAAGCAGGUUUCCUUGGGCCAGGGAUUUAGCUCAGUGGUUUCGCCGACUGCUGCGCAAGCGCAAGGACCCGAGUUCAAUCCCCGGUACCAAAAAAACAAAAAAAACCCCAAAACAAAACAAAACAAAAAUAGAGAAGCAGGUUUCCUAUAGAAGUUAUAACAAUGGCAUUUUGGAGCUCUCUUCCUUAGCAUUGUAUUCAAAAGCUGGAGCAUUUCUUGUCCCAGAUUGGAUUCUUUUUUGAGCGAAUAGUAAAUGUGAUCACCAUUCCUAAGGCAGAGAAUAUGGAUUGAAAAUGACUCCUGGUACGAGAGCAGAAGCUCAGGACCCUGUCUGCCAAGGCUCCCUGUGCUGACCAGCUGUCACUUCUGCCAAGCAGGACUGCCUUACAGGGUUCUUGUGAGGAUCAAGAACUAACAUGCAGAAGAAUUUAAAAAUGAACUUCAACAUGGACCGUGUCAUGUUCUGUCAUUAUUAUUCCUCCUUUCCACUUGCUUUGAUAAGAUGAUUUAUGACUAAUGUACACAAAUUACAAAAUCAUGAUAGAAAUUUAGUAAGUGCUUAUUAUGUACCAGAAUUAUUAAAUUACCAAUUCCUUUGGAAAGCUAUGAUCUAGGUACUAUAUCAUCAUCAUUAUAAAAUGAAGCAAUUCACAGUCACAAUGGCUAUGCUGACUCCCCAAAGUUGUAUUUUUAAAACUCAGAUAAAAAAAG